UUUCCGUAGGUGAACCUGCGGAAGGAUCAUUAGUGAAUUGCAUAUGUUAGCGGACCUCUUCGGAGUCCAUAGCAUCAAAUCACAUCCAUAACACCUGUGAACUGUAAGGCUGUCUUGAAAACGAAAGUGAUUAGAGCGCCUGCCCAUUUUAUACAAACAUUAAAGUAACAAACUUAGUCUUAUUAUAAUCUAAUAAAACUUUCAACAACGGAUCUCUUGGCUCUCGCAUCGAUGAGAACGCAGC
rnacentral:misc_RNA from 1 species